GGAGAGGUGCCGGAGUGGUCGAACGGGGCAGUCUCGAAAACUGUUGAGCUCGCAAGGGUUCCGAGGGUUCGAAUCCCUCCCUCUCCGCCA
rnacentral:tRNA from 1 species